UAGACUCAUCCAAGUGGGAGACUGUUGGAUUAGGUGUCUAAGCCCAUAACUAUAAUUGGUAUGUAUUUGACCCGAGAGUAGCAUGGUCCAUUUCAGGUUGCAUAUCACCAGGGCAAUUUGAUAGGAUGGAUACUUGAGUAAGAGGUUACUUAUGAUUUAUUAAUAUAUUAUAAGUUCUAAUAUAUUAAUAUGAAAUCAUCUUAUUUAAUUAGUAUUGAUCAAGAAUUAAUUUGGAAUUAAUUAUGUGAUCAAAAUAUACUAAUUAAAUAUAUAGGGAUUGAUUUGGUAAAUCAAUGAUUCUUAUAGUAUGGGCCAAUUGUUAUUUAGGAUGGGCUAAACCAAUAUGGUAGUCCAUGGAGGUUUAACCCAUGGAUCCUAAGUAAUAUGAAAGGUCAUGGGCAUUAGGGUUUGCAUGGAUGUAAACCUAGACUUUGCCACACUAUAAAAGGACUCCCUUAGCACCCAAAAUCGGCCACUAGAGUUCUUGGAGUUCAUUAGGGCCGAUUUUGAAGCUAGCAACCUCUCUCUCUCUCUCUCUCUCUCUCAAGUUCUCCUUUGUCCAAGGUGUGUUGUGAACCGUUUGAGGCAUCACACUUGGGGUGCUAAGUUCUGGAAGGCCAAAUACAAGAAGUUCUACAAGCUACAUAAAGAGGUAAACUCCAAACUAAUAUUUUAUGUUGUUUAUGUCAAUUGUAUGCUAGUUGUAGGUUUAAUGCUUUGGAAACAAUAUUGCAUGUAUAAUUAGAGAAAACAUAGAUCCAAAGCAUUUAGGGUUGUAUGUGCACCAUACGAUGUUGUAGUAUACUAAAACCCAACAGUUUACAUGAGUCAGCCAAAGGGUUUUGUCAAUGCGAAGUACCCUAAUAGAGUGUGUAAGCUUGAAAAAUCCAUCUAUGGAUUGAAACAAGCAUCUCGCAGAUGGAAUCUUUGUUUUGAUGAAAAAGUCAAAGAGUUUGGAUUUUCGAGAAUCGAGGAUGAGUCUUGUGUAUAUGUCAAAGCUAGUGGGAGUAUAGUAAGCUUUCUGGUAUUGUAUGUAGAUGACAUACUGCUCAUAGGAAAUGACAUCCCAACCUUGCAGGAGGUUAAGUCCUGGCUUAGGAAGUGUUUCACUAUGAAGGAUCUUGGGGAAGUUGCUUACAUCCUCGGGAUAAGGAUAUUGAGAAAUAGGAGUAAAAGACUAAUAGGACAUAGUCAAAGUACAUACUUGGACAAGGUGUUGAAGCGUUUCAGCAUGGAGAACUCCAAGAAAGGUGACUUACCUAUCCAAGGAAAUGCCAAAAUGAGUAAGACUCAGAGUCCGAGUACAGAGGCUGAGAUAUCAGAGAUGAGUUGAAUACCAUAUGCUUUCACAGUUUGCUCGAUCAUGUAUGCUAUGACUUGUACUCACCCUGUGUGGCCUUUGCUUUGAGCAUGGUCAGCAAAUAUCAAUGGAAUCUUGGUAAAGCUCAUUGGACUGCGGUUAAGAACAUUCUUAAGUACAUGCGGAGGACUAAGUACUGGGUCCUUACCCUCGGUGGGAGUGAUAGGGUAUAGUGACGCCAGCUUUCAAACUGACAGAGAUAAUUUCCGUUCUCAGUUAGGCUGGGUGUUUACCCUGAAUGGAGGAGCAGUAACAUGGAAAAGUUCCAAGCAAGAGACUAUAGCUGAUUCAACGUGCGAAUCGGAAUACAUAGCAGCAAGCGAAGCAUCGAAGGGGGUGGUAUGGUUGAAAAACUUCAUUGGAGACCUUGGAGUCACACCAUCCAUAAUGGAGCCUGUGGAGAUUUUCUGCGAUAAUGAAAGGGCGGUUUCCUUAACCAAGGUAACGAAAGAUCGUGGUAGAUCCAUGCAUAUUGACAGAAGGUACCACUUAAUAAUACAUCAAGUAGAAGAAUGACACCUCAUGGUGAAGAGGAUAUCGUCAGAGGACAACCCAACAGAUCCCCUUAUGAAGGUACUGACUAGGGUUAAGCACUUGCAACAUGCAAGGGGCAUUGGGCUAAUGGACGAUAUUAGUUUUAGUGUUUAAAUAAAUAGAAACUUGUAAUAGUUAAAUUGUAAUUGACAUUUGAUGAUUAAAUAAAAGGAGUUUUAUUUAUAAGUAAAGUUACUGUAUUGUGUCAAUUAUUUACUAUUGUUUCACUUUGCAUGUUUUGACUUCCAGAAUAAUAAGAUUAUUCAAACCAUACACAUUCGAUCAUAAUUUGGAAGUAGGUAUGAGGCUAGACUAUCAUGAUUUGUCUUGUAGAUUGUCUAAGGUGUUAGACAUGGCAAAAGUUUGCUACACCAUUCAUGAGUGCUCCUGAAAUAAGAUUGAGUAUUGGAUUCAACCUGUGCUCACCUGAAUUACUUCAUGGAAUUUUUCACGAGUAAUUGCGAGACGAUAAUAUCAUAUAAUCUUCAAAACAAGAUAUAUGAGUUGUUGACUACGAGUUGGUUGUGUAUUGAUGGCAUGAAAACGCAUCAGUAACUUGAUGUUAUAAAACAUGUCAUUGUGCAUGAUUUGAUGAGUAGUCAGUACAAUCAGAUAAUAUCGAAGUUUAUCUGUUUCUUUUAUCCUAAGAGGAUUAAAAGCGAUAUCUUGGGCCCCUCGAUGAUUCUGUUUUGACUAUGUGUCGGGCCCGGUCAGAACUAAAUUGAUGUGUUCAGUUAUGUUCUAUGUCUGAGGAAUUGGAAAUUGGGAAACAAUUUGCAUGACAAUAAGUAUGACUAUGUUUCAUGUAUUUUCCACAUCGAUAUCUUGAGAACAGAAGAAUAUAUGAUCCCUUAUCUAACGGACACGUCACUGACUGGGUCAGAGUUCGACAACGACUUUUGAGAGCUAUGAUUGCUAAUCAGAUUUUGAAGUUGCAUUGGAAGUUAUAGUUAUUAUACUUAUCCAAGUGGGAGACUUUUGGAUUAGGUGUCCAAGCCCAUAACUAUAAUUAGGAUGUGCUUGAGCUGAUAGUAGCAUGGUCCUUUAGGGUUUCCUUCACCAUUACAAUUUGAUAGGAUGAACUUUUGAGAAUAAGGUUAUUUAUGAUUUAUUAAUAUAUUAUAAGUAUAAUAUAUUAAUUGAGAAAUCAUAUUAUUUAAUUAGUAUUGAUCAAGAAUUAAUUUGGAAUUAAUUUUGUGAUCAACAAGAGUCUAAUUAAAUAUAUGGGUAUUGAUUAUGUAAAUCAAUGAUUCUUAUAGUGUGGGCUAAUGAUCCAUGGUUAUUUAGGAUGGACUAAACCAAUGAGAUAGUCCAUGGAGGUUUAACCCAUGGAGCCUAAGUAAUAUGAAAGGUCAUGGUGCAUUAGGGUUUACAUGAAUGUAACCCUAGCAUUUUUCACACUAUAAAAGCACACCCCUAGAGCCAAAAUUGGUUUCCCCAAUUCAUUCUAGGAGAGUGAUAUUGAUUUUGUGCUAAGUAACUUAUUUUAUCAAGCCUCCUCUUGCAUUUGGUGUUUGUGACACAUUAGAGGCAUCACACUUGAGGUGCUCAAGCUUUCAAAGGUCAAGAACUACACCCUACGUAUAAGAGGUAAUCAUCUAAACUAGUUUUUAUGUUAUAUAGCUUCAAUUGUAUGCUAGUUGGGGUGUAUGCUUUGGAAAAUUGAAAAAUGCAUGUAUAAUUAGAGAAAACAUAGAUCCAAAGCAUCUAGGGUUGUAUGUGCACCAUAAGAGUGUUGUAGUGCUCAAAACCCAACAGUAGGCCCUGUGAGGCGGUUUAGUCAUACCAAAGGCUCAGGAGCGGUCCAUAUAGGCUGAAGGCCCGCGAGGCGGUACAUUCAGGCUGAAAGCUCAUAUGUGCAUGUUGUUGUUGGUUAUGUUCAUGAGGUGGUAUUUUGGGGAAGACUCUAAGCUCUGGGCUUACAUUUUUUGGUUGUGUUUCAUGUACUUCAGAUGAUCACGGAAAGGUGAAGGCUUGAUCGAGCACCUCCUUGUAUUUCAUGUUAUGAUUUCAGUACCAGUUACUACCCUCAGACCGACGGACAGAGUGAGCGGACCAUUCAGAUGCUCGAGCAUAUGCUCAGAUCAUGUGUGUUAUAUUUUGGCGGGAGUUGAGAUACUUACUUCCAUUGAAUGAGUUCUCCCACAACAACAAUUAUCAUGCCAAAAUUAAUCAAUCUCACUUUGAGAUGCUCUACAUGAGGAAAUAUCGAACCUUGGUUUGUUUGGGCGAGGUUGGGAAUUGAGUCAUGAGGGGUACUGAGGUGGUACUCAAGACCAUUGAGUUAAUAUACCAGGUGCGCAAUCGACUGCAGACCAUGCAAAAGCACCAGAAGAGCUAUGAUGACCGUCAACGUUCAUAACUCGAGUUUCAGGUCGUGGAUUAUGUGAUACUAAAGGUGUAUCCAGUUCAGGAAGCAGGGUAAAUUGGACCCCAUGUAUAUUGGUCCCUUCAAGAUCAUUGCCCGGGUGGAUCUACCUGAUGAGCUUGGUCAGAUCCACAACACUUUCUACAUCUCUCAGCUACAUAAAUGUUUCGUUGAUGAUUUUGUGGUGGUACCCUUGGACGAUAUUCAUAUUGAUGGAUGCCUGAAUUAUAUAAAGAGACCAAUUGCAGUUCUCAACAAGAAGACGAAGGAGGUGGGUUUGGUGAAGGUGUAAUGUCAUUGGCAACGGCAGAAAGGUUUUGAGUGGACCUGGGAACCUGAGGAGGAGAUGAGAGAACAUUACCCCGAGUUGUUUGUAGCGACAGACUUCGAGGAUGGAUUGUGAUUCUAGGAGAGGACAGUUGUAACAUCCUGAUUUUGAAGUGUAACGACCCAAAUUCUUACGGUUAUCGUAGUUAAUUUUCUGUUAUGUAGGAUUAAGCUUUACGUGUGUUUAUGGUAUGAGAUUAUAUGUUUAGUAUAUAAUAAAAUAAACAAAAGGAGAUCAACUAGGAUUUUAAAGAUUUAAUUGAAAUUUGAAAGAUUUAUAGGAUUUAGUUAAUAAUUUAAAUAAAUUAACGGUUUAUUUGAUAUAUGAAAUAUCACAAGGUAUAAAUUGUCAUUGUAGGAAACGAGUUUGGGGUAGAUUGUGAACAAGUACCAUAAUUUAGGGACCAAAUUUGUAAAUAGAUUUAAUGGAAGCUAUAAAACUACUAGAGAAAUGUAUGCAGCUCCGUCCAGCUUCAUGCGAUUAAUUAGGAACGGUUAAACCCUUCGCUUUUCCUUCGUUUCAUCAUUCCAUUCUCCUGACGAUAAUUAGGAUGCCGACUCCCAUCCCUAACUCGCUAAUUGUGAAACGGAUAGAUCAAGAUCAAGAGAAAGAAAGAAAUGAGAGAAUGGAAACAGGGAGAACGAAAGGCGAAAGAGAGACGAUUUGGUGAAGAAGAAAAGGACCAGACUUACCUGUUGAAGUUGCUUUCCCAUCCUUGGACAACCAUUACAUCCUUGAACCAUGUGAGCAUGCGAUCUACAAGAGGUUUCAGUGGAUUCUCUUCGACGAGAUCUGCUGGAGGUCUUCUGAGAAGUUCGGUGAAGACCUUGUUGAGUUAUUAAAAAGGUUCGAAGGGAAUAGAUUAGAUGACAAGGUUCGGAUGAUAUCACAGAUCAGUAAUGACGGAGGUCAGGGUCAUGAAUAUCAAGAGGUAAUAUGAAAGUUCGAUGUGGUUUCCACUGCAAUUUCAGAAUGUUGAUCCAUUUGAUCUGUUAUAUAUAUGUGAACGAAGAGACGAUUGACGCACGACAUAUUUUGGUGGCAUUGACUACGACUGCCAAUAUAAUUCAUGUUACGGUUAAGAUGAGAAGCAAUCGAAGGCUCUAAGCUUGACUACUCAAGUUUAUCUUGUGGCUGAAAUAUUGUGUAGGCCUAUUGGGCACGUCAUGAUUUUAUGAUGAAAGGAGCUGCACGUUUUUAAUAAGAUUAUUAGGAGACUGUUAAACUAAAGUUUGGAAUCUGAAUAAAAGAGCCAGUUCAAGCAUGCAGAAUGAAGAAUGCUUUCAAAUGUUCAUAAUAUAUGUCUGAUAGUAAAAAUUAACGCUGGUGCAUACGAAUAUGCAUGAGUUUUUGUGAUUCCUUCUCAAAUGGAAGUAUGGUGCUUUCGUGGUGAGAUCAAGCUAAUUAAGAUAAUGGAGUGGUUGUCAUGGACAGGUAUCAUACGUAUCCAUUUUAAUUAGAUUGAGAGUUAGAUUUAUAUCACAUAUAAUAGUAAUAACAAUAUGUUAUACCAAAUGGGAAGUUUACGAAUUUACAGUAAUUUUUAUUGAUAACAUUAUGUUAUGAUUAAUUCUUAGUAAAUAUUUUUACAUGGAAUAUCACGGUGGGAAUUAUAAUUAGUGGUGUAUAUUUUAGUGUUUUAAUAAGAUUAGUUUAAUCAUAUGAUGAAAAAGUGUUAGCACUUAAAUUACUAAUUAUAUAUAUAUAUAUAUUAAAGUUGCACAAUCCUUAGGAAUAGUGUGAUGAUGCUAAUUUGCGCAGGGUUUUUUUUUUAACAAAUGAUCCUUGGUUUUUUGUAUUGUAUUCAAUAUAAGUGUUUCAUUUUGGGUAGAUUUUUUUCCCACAAAUUAUCCUUCGUUUUUUGUUUGGUCCUCUGAUUAUGGAGAAAAUGAUUCUUAGGAACAGUACCUGCUAGGCGCUUCCCGAUCCUUCCACCGCCUAUCUCUCUCUCUGCUAUCAAUUUUUACUUCUGAUCCUUCCACCGCCUCCCAAAUCGACUCUCCUAUCUUCUUCUAUCCUGUGCUCCCUCCACCGCCAACCACUUCCUGAUCCGUGCUUCCCACCGCUCCAUGUUAAUUUCUCCAAUAUUUGUCGGUGACGGUGGGCAUAGCACGACGGCGAGUAUGAUGAUGACGUACGAUCCAUCUUCGAGCCCUAAAUGUGUUGAGACCAUAAACGCACCGUCGUGGACCCCCUUUUGCUUUUAAUUUCGGUUUUCCUUCUUCACCUUUGUUUAUCUGGAAUUUCCUGGGAGUGAUUUCAAAUUUCGUCUUCUCUCCAGGUGUGAUGAUAACCUGUUUUUUCGAAAUCGAUUCUACCCACACCUCGUGUUCUCAUUUUUCUCUUACGAUUUGCCCUCUAGUAAUGUUUUUUCUCCACAACGAAGGUCAAUAUUAGGGCUUUGUUUUUGCUUCCUGGGUAAACUAAAACUUUCAUCGGCUAUGGUUUUUGUCGGGCCGUGAGUAAGAAAGCUACUCGAAAUUGGUUAGUUCUUCUUUCCCACUCCCUCAAUUAUCUAUUUACAUCAUUCUUCUUUUUUGAUUUCUAGGUCAUGUAACUGUUGUUUCUAUUUUAUGCUUUUGUUCUUCUGUAUUGUUUGCUAUAUUUUUUCCUUCUUAUUCCAUGAAUUUGUAUCAGCAGGCUAAGGAAAUCAGCUGAUGUGUUUUUCUAUUUAUUUGUUUCUUUUGUGUUUCUUCAGUUUCAUUAUGUAUGUACAGAUCUUUGUCUUUCACUGUUUGCUAUAUGUUUCGUUGUUAUCUAUUGAUUUUCGAUGAGGUGGUGGCCCACUAUUACGAGUGCAUACUUAGCUUCAUAAAAUAAGGCCCAAGUUAAAUCAACAGAUAUAUAAACAUUUGCUAUCAAAUAACCGAUUGAUCAGUUGUGAUGAGAUCUUUCUUUUUCAGGAUUUUGUUAAUACAUGGAAAAAGAGGUGCUCAUUUGUUUUGAGACUUUGAUUUUCUUAUCUUUAAUGUAAACUGGAACUUUCCUUACGACUUGAAAUAAUUCUUACGUUGUUAAUUGGCUGUUAUAAGCUUAUGACAUACUUUGACUUAGUUAUCAAACAAUUGAAUAGUAGAAUAUGUUUACCUUAAUAAUCUUAGUUAAUUUCUUCUCGUUUUCUUAAUUUUUGAUUGGUAGUUCACAAAAUAGUCAUGUAUUCUACUAAUUUCAAUUUGCUAGCACGAGUUAAAAUUUUCUAUUCUGGUUUUAAAACUGACAGAGUAGUUGCUUAAGUUGGUUAACGUGUUGUUUUGUUGCUUAAUAGAUAUAUGUAAUAGUGCUUCCAAUCAGAUAAUUGAACUUAUCAACCGACGACCAGAUCUGUAAGAAGUUUUAUAAGUUUUAUUUGACUUUCAAUUCAUGUUGAUGUCUAAACACCCCUGUGGAUUUCUUGCAUCAUGGAUUUAAGCGUUUCAAAGGGUUUUCAUUAAGUUACAGACACUUUUCAUUGAAGAAAGCGUCCAACAGGUACUUUGUUAACAUUUAAUCAUCCAAUGUUAAUUCAAGGCAUAUUUCCCUCUGAUUGCCCUAUUUGUCUCAUCAGUGAUUAAGAUGGCGAAUUUUUUAACUAUUAACCAUGUGAUUGUUGAAAAUAUAUGAAAAUUUGAACUUUUACACUAUACGGUAUCUUAUUAGGGAGCAAUUACAUUGCUUCAUUGGUAUUUCCCAAUUUGAAUUAAAAAAAUAAAAGAAAUUUACAAAUUGUAAUAAUUUUCUUUGUCAGCUCAUAUAUUAUGAGCAGAACUUGAUGGGUUACUUAAGGAAUGUGGUUUGCCCAAAUCUUCAUAUGUCAAACGUGUACCUGGCCGGUAGCAUAAGUAACUUUCUUUUAAAAAAACGGCAAUGCUUUAGGUAACAACCAUUUUUGAGUAAAUUGACCAAAUUAGAGACGAAUAUUCAUAGCAAAAAGUUGUUCUAUCCAUUUGUGUUAGACAAAUUGAAUGAUUCCACCUUUUCCCUGGACAAAAACUUUAAAGAGUGAAAUUAUUUGAGAAAAUCAUCUUGUGUUCUUUUUGGGGGAAAUCCAAUACCUUUGGUUGGUGUGACCUAUGAAUAAUUAGACGAUGGCUUCCAAAUGGGUGGGUUGACUAAUGAGUCGAAAUGAGUAAUUUUUAAUACAGUGAAAACGGGUUGAUCCGCCUUCACCUAUUUCUUUUUUAAACAUACCUAUUAAUGUUUUGAAUAUAAAAUUGAUAAAUUCGUUAAUUUUUAAUAAUGCAACUCAUCUAUGUCGUAUCCUUCUUCUCCUGCUUCAUAUUAUUUGUCUUCUUCUCUUGCUUCAUUGUCACAUCCUUAAUGGUUUUUGUCUCACGUUACUGUUGGAUUUCACGAUUAGUAGUUCAUAGAUGUGUUUUAGAUAAGUUAGUGAAUCCGAUUGAUCAAAAUAAGUCUCAACAGUAUACACCAAUAUUACCUCAGGUAAUCGAUUGUUUCAUAAGAGUGUAAUGGAGGGUUUUAGCCGAAUAAUGUAACCAUUUGUUUUUGUUUCCGCCUCUCACCAGUUUCAGAACUGUGACUGCUAUCAUGAUUGGAUGAAUUAUUUUUUCGUGAAAUAUUGAAAAUUUCUGAAUCCUAUUUUCUCUAAUUUUCUACUAUUAUUAAAAACAUAUAAGCAAAGUUAUUGAUUACAACAUAAACUGUUUUAAAGGAAGUCACUCCUGAAAGAAUUUUGUUUUCGGUCAAGAUUCAGUUUUUAGAUGUUGAUGUUAUUUUUUUUUGCUUCUUUUGCUCAUUCCAUUAUCCUAACUGAAACAUGAUAACACUCAUCUGUUGUUUCUUUAGUAUAUUUUCAAGCCACGUGUUUGUGAAAAUUCAGAUAAGGAUUUUUUUAUUCUGAACAAUUUUUACCAUGGUGUAACUAAGGAAACUUUGUGAUUUGUUUGCAAAUUGGUGGCCUGUUAUAGGAGAUUAUCUUCUACUGUUACGCCAAGCUUCUUUUCUUUUUUAUUUUAUUUUUUAAAUUUGGGCUUUUCAAAAAAAUUCACACCUUUGAUAAUAAAAAAUGGAUAUGGCUUGAAAAGGAUUUUAGAAUAAAUUCAGUUCAAGAUUGGCAGCAUUGCCCUCGCUUUGGCCCCUGCUCCGAUCGUUGUUGUUCCUACUUCUUCUAUUUGUGGUGGGAAUUUGAAUUCUUCAAACGAUCGCAACAAUGGAACCCCAAAUGUAGAUUCAUCUGCUAAGAAAAAAUACAGGAAGGGAAGAGCCAAUUGGAUGCUUUAGGUAAUUGGUCUUAUUAAUUUAAUGCGUUUUUUGUUGACUUUCAUGUUUAUCAUCUAUAAGAAGUAUCUGAAUGCUUUAGGCUAUGUUUAAGUUCAUAUUUUGUUGCGGGCGGAUCCCAUGAAGAGAACUCAUCGCACAUGUACUGGAGUUUAUAUGUAAGGUUUUUCCCUUUUGUGGUACCAUCAAAAUUUAAUAUGGCAUUUGAAGUUUCAAAUUUGAAUGUAAGGGUCUUCAUUAUUACUAUAUUUUAUGAUUUUCAGCUUAAUGGAAUGGUAGAGAAUCAUGUUGAUCAUAUGGUCCACUUAUUCGACAAGUAAUACCUUCAUGUCAUUCAAGCUUAUUUAUUAUUGUUAUUUUUUUCUCCAUUGAAAAUGAUUUGUCUUUUUAUUUUUUAUUCCUAGGUAUAUUUAUUAAAUAACAACAUAUCAUUAGUCUCGGAUGACAUUAAAGCUUGGCAAAUUGGCCUCUUUGGAAGGUAAGCUCAGUAUUUCACUUUUUUGUCCGUUCACUUGCUAACGUAGUCAUGUUUAAUUCUUUCAAACUCUAUGGAUUGAAAAUUUACUUUUAUGUUAAAAAAAUUUGGUACUUAUUCACAUGAAAAUUAACAAUUAUUUUGUCGAGUACAUUACUUACAUGUAUUGCAAGUUGCAACCCAAUGUUGAAACCUUGAGUCUUUGACAUAAAUGUUUUUUUUUUUUGGGCAGCGGUAAAAAAAACAUAUUUUAUAGCAUUCUAUCUUUUGGAAAUCGCCAUUUAUAGCAUUCUACUUGGUAAAAAAUGCUUUUACCAACAAAGCCCACUUAAAAAAAAGGAAAAAAAAGACCCGUGCCCGGUGAUGGAGUAGGUUGAGUUCCAUAAAAUUUAUAUAAGUUGAUGAUUGUUAUUACUUUGAUGUGAGUUUUGUCAAAAAAAAAACCAUGCUUCUUCUGUUGGAACUUUAAGUCAUCUUUGUAGGUUCCUGCUGUACUUGUGCUUUGUUAAACAUGUUAGUUGUUUUUAUGAAUUUUUCUACUUUCGUUUUUAUUGUUUUAUAAUUUUGUACAGAUGUAUCCUGCAUUCACUAUGCCACUAAGAAAGAUCUCUCUCUCUCUCUCUCUCUCUCUUUUUUAAAUUUCUGUACUACAUAGUUGUAUUUGGGAUGAUUUAAAGCCAAGUAAAAGCUUGGAUUCUAUAUUUCUUGACUCUGCUUCUUCACUUCUUCACUAGAUGUACUUUCUCAUGUAUCCCAUCACUUAAUUUUUUUUAUUACUUUAUAAAAAGUUGUUCAUUUGUGAUUAUUUUUUGGACCACUAUACACUUCACAUUUUUUUUUUGUAAAUUUGUGUUAUCAGAGAGCCUUGCAUGUGUGCUCAGAAGCGAAAUGUUUAUAUGCUUUCAAGGAUGCGGUGUCAUUAAAUUCCGAGUGAUUCUAAUUAUUUUCUAGGAUUUUAUAUUUUUUUAUAAAUAAAGUUUGUUUAUAUCUUUUUAAAGUCUACAAUAUGGAGGGUAAUAUUGAAAUUGUUUUUGCAGUGAAGAGGAGAAGUUGAAGAAGCUUGGCGACCUUAUAAAUGGCAGCCACCAUAGUUGCAGUGCUCUAUUUGAGUUCAGGUAUUAUAAAAAGUCGUGGAAAAAAAAUCUUUAGAUAAACUUAUAACAUACCUUCUCUCUUUCUUUCCAAAAAUGUUAAUAAUAUUUACGCAUGAAAACGGUUGUGCAGAGUUGGCAGAAAUGGUCCCUUGAUUAUAGGUUUUUUUUUGCAACUUGGGAUUCAUUUUUUUUAGACGGACAUUUUAUGAAAUUGUCUGCAUUCUUUCUGAUUCCAUUACUAAUCUGCUUCUUCCAUGAGUUCCCGUUGCUUUCCGAAGACCUGUAGUUCUUGUGUUUCGAAAGAAUUUUCAGUGAUGGGUGAGUAAAGGAGCUUUUUAGAACAAUCCCAUACUUGGUUCUGAUAAAAUGUACUCAUGUCUUAAUUUUAACAUUUAGGAACCUCUUUUGUAUCAUUUUUAUGUUGCAGGCCCAAGGAACAUUUAAUUUUGUUAUAGAGGAGGUUUUGGAAUUGAUUCCGGUAAGUUUUUCCAUGUAAUUGAAAUUUUUGCAUAACUAGAAUAGCUGAAGUUCGAAAAAUUAAACAAUGAUUAAAUUUUAUCAGAUUUCAGAUUUCUUAUAUAGCUUACUGAUUUCUUAUAUAUCUUACUACUUUCUUAUAUAGCUUACUGUUGAAGUGAAGAUUUUGAAAUUCUCAUAUUGUAACUAUGGUUUUGAAAAUCUAUAAUAGUAAAAUAUGAUGUAUCUAAAAUCCUGAUUAUGAAAAUUUGAUGCAUCUGAAAUUCUGACAUUGAAAAUCUGAUAUUGGCAUACGAAUAUAUUUUUUGGUUUAUCUUGGUGUUUCAUGUUUCUUUGUGACUGUUUCAAUUUGGAUGGAUCGCAGAUGCUCCUGUGUUGACUUUUUUGCCCUUGUGAUGAUGGCUGCCUUGGUGGUUUUCUGAUAUGUUUAUGGUUGCUCAUGUGCUCUUGAUUCAUCAGACGAGAUCUACACAUUUUUGCGUGGAAUGAAUCUUACAAGUGGAGAAUUCAAUAUUGUAUGAAUUUUUAGUGUUGGAGAAAUUGAUAGCUGCAUGGGAUAUCGGUCUUAGUCUUAGAUAAUGAUGUGAUUUAAUUUCAUUGUGGAAAGCUUAACCGGAUGAGAAGACCUGCUGUAUAAUCUCUUUCAAUUUAGCAAUGUAAUUUUAUUUUUUAAUAGCAUACAACACUUUGAUAUCUUUUCUUAUUAACACAAAUUGUAUUUUCAAAUUUUUCUUAUUAUAACAUUUACACGUUUGUAAAUGGACAAAUCUCCUACAAUGGCAACGUACUUUAUUGUGGCUAACAACUUAGGCAACAUACUUUACUUUGUUGCAAAAGCAACACCUUGUGUCCCCCGCAAUGCGGGGGGAAUAUUUCUAGUAUAAAUAUAAAUAUGAUUAUGUUUAGGUUCUUUUUCUUGAUGGUCUAAAGAAGAUUACAAAGUGACGGAUAUAUUAUAUACUAUGUGUAAAACCCGUGUAUUACACGGGUUGAAUAAAGAAAUUAAAUAUUAAAAUUAAACAUUAAGUAUUUUUUUUAAAUAAAAUUUUGAAAUAAAAAAAGAAAAAAACAAAUUAAUUACAAUUAUUAUUAUAUCUAUUACAUUUAAUACUUUGCAUAUAUAAAUAUUAUAUGAUUUUUUUAAUUUUAAAAAUUAGAAAAACCUAGAAAUUGACAUGUGGAUAUUAUUUAAUUUCAAAAAUAUAAUAAAAUGACAAGUGUCAAAACUCAUGAGAGAUUGACAUGUGGCAAAAUGAUCUUCAUUUAUUAUAGUUGAUUGUCGAAAUCAAAGGUGAGUCGAUAGACUUUUCAUAAACCUUGUACAUAGUCGAAAACUACUUUUUGGAAAUGGCUCGAUUAAUCAAAUUAGGAUAUAAUUAAUUGUUGAUUAUGCCGAUAUGCGCCAUAUGAGAUAUGUUACUGUUUUGCCUUUUGUGACAAUUAUAUGCUUUUGAAAUUUGGUUGAUAUACAUAUCUUAGUAUUUGAUACGAUUAUUUUCAACUAUGAUAUGUUAUAUGAAAUGCUUAAUAUUUGAGUAUGAUCUUGUUGAGUAUCUUCUAGUCUAUACACGUUAAGAAUCUUGAUUAUGAUUAUACGAAUACUGCAUGCUUUUACAUGAUUUUCUAUUUAUUAUGUAGGGUUAUGCGUAGAGGGCAAGGGUAGAACCUAUCACUUGGCUUGAAACCCUAUCCGGAUACCUUCAAGCCAGGUUGGUUGCAAUAUACCAUCUGGGAAAAGAGCUUAAGCCAAUUAAAGAGUUGCUCGGUCUUUCUAGAUGCCCGUGCGACACAUGGUACGCGUACACUUUGGUGUUCGUGAACUGGAGUGAUGUUGGCCAUUCAAUCGAUGUCGGAUCAAGCAUCAUGUAGGAAUCGGGAGGUGUAUUGCAAAAUUGGCAUCGCUUGAAGCAAUCCUGAACGACAUCGCGGAUCCUUAUGUCUUGCAGGUCGGAGUAGCGAAAGUGUAAGUCUUGGGGUUGAUGUUUCGGGUGGAAGUCAUGAGCCACUUAGAGCAUUUUACUGGCUGAGCACAUUAGUAGCGAACGAGGUAGUUAUCUAUGGGUUAGGUACCACUACAAGACCACCUACACCUAUACAAUUUUACUACAUACGAUUAUACUAUCAUUAUUCUUGAAAUAUGAAUGAUGAUAUACGAAUAAAUCAUAUAAGAUUGAAUCAGUUAUGAUGAAAUGAUAUAUAAAUGAAGAUUGAUUGAUGAUUGAUAUGCAUAUUCAGUUUACAUGAUUAUAAUUUGAAUGAUUGACCCGUUAGGGAUUACAUGUUUUCCCUAUGAUUAUGUACAACUUCUAUUGGCUCACAAAGCAUGUGCUGAAACUUGUUUCUUUGCUAUCUGCCUCCAUGAUCAGUAUAGGUAGCUUAGGAGUUUGGCGUUGUGAGAUGAGGUCACUUUUGGGUAGUUUUUCCUUAGAAUAAAGAUGCCACAUGGACACAUUAUUUACUUUUUGACACUUAUGCUUCCGCUACAAUUAAAUAAUUUUUGAUAUUUUGGUUUUGAAUUGAACAUAUUGUUGAGAUUUCAAAAUGUUUUGAAAUAAACAAUGUUUAAAAAGUCUUCAGUUGCAUUUUCCAUUAAAAGAUUUUAAAAAUAAAAAAAUCGAGUAAAAAUCACGACGUUACGUGAGGUAUGAAAGUGUAAAUCAAUGUAACACCCAUAAAAUUCAAGCCAAAUUUAAACUUUUUCACACAUUUUAAAACCAUUAAGUUAUUAUAGGUUGUUUUCAAAAUAGUUUAGACAUAAGAGUAUUCCCAGAAUCUAUCAUGAAAAUAUGAGGAGGUGCACGAUCACCCCUUCGCCUUCCCACAAUCAUCAGAAGUGCCUGAAACGAAAUCAACAACUGUAAGCCCGAAGCUUAGUGAGUUUCCCCAAAAUACCAACAUCGUACAAACAUAACCAUAUCAUAUAACCAAUACAGAACAACAUGCAUAAUGAGUCAUCAGCUUGACUGGACCGCCUUACAGGCCUUCCGUCUAUCUGGACUGCUCUUCGAGCCUUCGGCACGUCUGUACCGCCACGCAGGGCCUACAACCUAUCCGGACCGCUCGUUGUGUAUGUUGGCCUACAACACAAAUCAGGACCGCCUCAACCCAACCCCCAAUCAAACAAACAUGUGCACAUAAAUAUCAUAGGCUAGCUCAUUUCAUAUAAUAGUCAAACCGAUCUAACAGAUCACCAAUCAUAGCAACAUCCCAAUAACCGGGAUACAGACCUAAACGGUCACUAAAAUAGCAUCAUCCUAUAACCAGGACAAUCAUGUGCACAUAGACAUCAUAUAACACUAGAAUGUAUAUAUAACAGUCAAACCGAUCUAACAGAUCACAAAGCAUAGCAACAAUCCUAUAACUAGGAUAUCGACUAGGGGUGUAAGUGAGCCGAGCUACUCGUGAGCUACUCGGGAUCGACUUGUUAAAAGAUCGACUCGAGAUCGAAUUAAACGAGCCUGAGCCGAGCUCGAGCCUAAAUAUGAGGCUCGUUUAUUAAACGAGCUUGAGCCGAGCUUCAAUCAUGGGCUCACGAGCCUAAACGAACCUAUAUAUAUACACACACACANNNNNNNNNNNNNNNNNNNNNNNNNNNNNNNNNNNNNNNNNNNNNNNNNNNNNNNNNNNNNNNNNNNNNNNNNNNNNNNNNNNNNNNNNNNNNNNNNNNNNNNNNNNNNNNNNNNNNNNNNNNNNNNNNNNNNNNNNNNNNNNNNNNNNNNNNNNNNNNNNNNNNNNNNNNNNNNNNNNNNNNNGUUUACACCCCUAAUAUCGACCUAAUAGGUCACUAACAUAGCAUGAUCCUAUAUACCAGGAUACCGACCCAACCGGGUCACUAAAGCAUAGCAUAUCACAAUCCUAACUACCAAGAUAUAAAUCAGUAAGCAUAACAUGCAAUAAUCCGAAUACAAUCCAUAAAGGGCCGGCCUUGGUGCCUUAGACCCUGUUGAUAUAGUGAGGAGAACUCACCUGGCACUGUUGAAGUCCCGCCGAUAAAACUCCAGUUGCUGGUUGACAGAUUCCCGAACUGUCAACAUCAAACAACACCCAAUUAAUAAUUGGGUUCCAAGCCCAAAGUUCAACUCACAAACUAAAGGCUCAAUAGUCAAGUAAUGGGCCAAAGCCCAACAUAUGGCCCAAUUUUCCAAGUUGGGCCCACACCCUCAUAUGGGCCUUACCCUAAUCCCAUCAACAUAUUCUAGUCCUUAUGAUUAUUCUUGGAUGACCCAUUAAUAAUCCAAUUACCAAAGCCCAAUAGAAAGGCCCAAAAAAAUUAGGGUUUCAUAUAAGGUGACAAUUAGGGUUAAGUGUUUCUCACUUAAUGGUGGUGGUUUGAGUUUUCUUUUCAUUAUUGUUGUCUCUAAUUACAUGUUACAAUGCUUUAAUCAAGAAAAUAACACACACACUAAUUGACAAACACAUACACACAGCCACCCUUGUGGUGGCCGGUGGUGGUAUAUGGUGGCAGCCACCACCGUGGUGACAUUUCCGGCCAAACAACGCCCAAAGAUUACAUUAAACUGAAAUACAUACACUUAAACCCAAUUUCACACACACACACACACACACACAGCCACCACACACGGUGACUGGCGGCAGCAGAAAGCACAAUACGGGCAGCAACCACCAUGGUGGCUCUUCACGAGGCUUCUCUGGCCAAGCGAGCUUCACAGUCGAACAACAACCACAAUCCACUCACAUGCUUGCGACACGCGAGCUAAAACACACACACACACACACACAACCGUGGACUAGUAGCGGAACACCUCACACCUCCUCGGACCUGGUGACGGCAGCAACAACGCAAGUGAUAGCCACGAUGAUUAACGGUAAGAAAAAGAGGAAGAAGGUGGCGACGAUAUUGCCACAUUGUCGGUCUUCGGGUUCCAGCAUGGAUGGCGGCAGCAGCGGCUCAUCGUCUACAACAGCCCCAACGGCGGGGAUGGCGGCUAUUUUUUCAUCGGCGAGGAAAGAUGCGACAGUGAACCACCUGGCCGGCUGGCCUCAUCGGUUUGCGGUAGCGACUCGACGGAAGUGGGGGGUUAGUAGCACCGGAGUUGAAGACGAAGGGUGAAGGGGAUAGCGGUUGCACAUUGCUAGGGUUAGGUCUACAGGCAACGCAACAGUUUAUACCCGCUCCCUUCAAACUAUCAUCCAUAUUGACAAAACCAGCCCCUCCCUCUCCUUUUCCUUUCAUAUGAAGUCCCCAAAUUACCAUUUAGCCCCUAGCUCCAUAAAAUCCUUUCAACUUUGAUCCAAUAUAUACCAAAGAACCCCCAUAUUUCAUAAUUCAUUACAAUUCAGGUACAAUAUUUACCAAACACACCCUAACUUCUGAAUUCCUUUUCAAACAAAUCCUGAAAUUACACUUUAACCCCCGAAACUCUAAAUCAUGACAUUUGGCUUCCCGAAACCAACACCUUGCUAAUUAUUAUUUUAUUUUGGGCUAUAAUAAUUUAAUAAAAUAAUAAAAUUUCUUCUUGGGGUCCCGAGUUUAUUAUUUUAAUUAUUCUAUUUAAAAUGGGAUGUUACAAUCAAUUUUGGGGUUUUUUUUAAUGGGUCACGACGUGAGGGAAGCACUGUCACGUCGUGACAUGGCCACGUUCAUCAAGAGGAAUCUUUUGAGUGUCACGAUGUGACACUCUAUGGGUCACGACGUGACACUCUAUGGGUCACGAAAUGACACCUCACAAGAUGAAAAACCUUAAUUUCGGACAUCGACCUCGUUUAAAGAAAGUGAGGGGCUAGAGUUUCCUUCACCCUCAGUCUCCAUCACAUCAAAUCAACCCUUUGACCAAACCCUAUCUCUAUUGAUGUUUUUGAGCUCAUUCAUGCAAGUUUUGUUGGUUUCGAAGAAAGGAGAAGAAGUUGUGGUUCCUUGUUUCCCCAACCAAUUUAACCCCUCACUCGUGUGUAUUUUUGGACUCUUUGUAAGUCCUUAAGUUUCCAUCUUUUAAUGUGUUUCUCUUUAGAUAUAGGUUUUAUGUCAUGAUUUGGUUCCUUUGAUGUGGUUAAUAUGGUUUGAAGAGAUAAAGUUUGCAACUUUCUGGUUUCUCUAAGUCCUUUGAGCAUCAUAUCUUAUAGAUUUAGGAUUUGGUGGUAGUUUGAAGAUUUUGCUUGGAUCUUAGGUCAUUUUGCAUCUUUAGACCUAGAUUCAGGAAAGGACAUCCAUGGGGCAUGAAUGUCCAUAAAUUUUUCUUUUUUAGGGAUCAUUAGGGUCCCUAAAGCCUUUCUAAAAGUUUUGGAUUGAAGACUUCAUGAAGUAAGUGCUUAAUGGAUUAUUCCAUGCCUUAAUGUUGUCAUUAAGGACCUUGGACUUGAGAUCUUGGCUUACAGUGAUGUCUCAAUGGAUAUAGUUAGAAAAUUUAUCCAUUAAGACCUUGUGAUGAGUCAGAUAUAAGAAUUGGAGCUUAUGGAAUCAAUGGAAAGUGGAUUAAUCCAUUAAGUUGGAAUGUCUAGUUUUCACGACGUGACACCCUUAUUAUCAUGAUGUGAGGACUAGGGACUUCUACGAUUAUUUUGGACUGAUUUCCAUCAUGACGUGAUGGGCAAUACAUGAUGACGUAGCGAUGAGUUGGAUUUAGACUGUGUUGAGCUGAAUUAGGUUGAAUCAUGACUAAGUUGGGACCGAGUUGAGUCUAUUCCCAAUGACGUGAGGGGUCAACUAAUGGAAUAGUUGAUCGUUGACCUUGAAUGAGACCGUAGACUUUUUGACCUAGUUUGACUUUUGGUCAAAAUGGCUAGUUUUAGAGGUUAGACUAAGGCAGGACCUUGUUUGAUUCAAUUGGUGGGUCGUAGCAUCGUUCACAUGGCAGCAAAUUGUGUUCUUAGUUGAUUUUGUAAGAAAGGUGAGUUUUCUCACUAUAUUAUGUAUGUUGCUAGUAGUCUAUGUGAUACUUGUAUGAAAAACCAUAGGGAUAGCCCAUGACACUUGUGUAUAAGACCUUGGGAUAGCCAAGGCACAACAAGGGAAGACCAUAGGGGCAACCCAUAACAAUGGUAUGAAAGACCAUGGGGGUAGCCUAUGGUGCUUGUAUGCAAGACCAUGGGGGUAGCCUAUGGUGCUUGUAUGCAAGACCAUGGGAGUAGCCCAUGGCAAUGUAUAUAUGGUAUGUGGUAUUUUGGGGAACUCACUAAGCUUUGUGCUUACAGUUUGUGGUUUGAAUGUUUUCAGGUACUUCUAGUUCCAAAGGGAAGGGCCCGACUUGACUACACAACAUUACCCCCUGAUGAUUUUCCGCAUUAUUGACUAUUAUUGUACUUUGAUGAUUAUGAUACAUUUAAUAUUAUGAUGGGUUUUUUUUUGGAAAAAUACUAUUUGGAUUGAUAUGUGACACUUGUUUUCCAGGAUGGAUCGAUUUAGGGUUUCAAGGAGUAAAAAUCUUGAUUUUGGAGAAAAUCGAGUGUCACAACGUGACAAUAGGGUGGUCACGACGUGACAAGCUAAAAUGAGAAGCAUGGUUCAGAAAUGUCCUCACAAUGUGAGACAUAAGUGUCAUGACAUGAGACGUGCUGCAGCCCAAGCCCAUGAUUUUUUAGGGAUCCUUCGUAUUUAAAUAGCUCUAAGUCAAUUUUAGGGUUCAUUAUUAACCUUUAUCACCGUUUUACCUCAUAAAAAACACUAACUCUAAUUCCCUUGGGGAUUCUUGCUCUUUUGGAGCAUUUGUUAGCUUGAAUAAGAAGAGAAGAAUGAUAAGAAGGUGUUUUAUUGGUGGAGCUUGCAAGGAAACAUCAUCAUCAUCUCGUAUUCUUUCUGGACCUUUGUAAGUGUCAAAGGCUAAAACUUUAUUGCUUAAUAUUGCUAGAUCUAAGUUUUUGUCCCAUGUCCUUCAUGUUUGAGAAAGUUUGAAUGGAAGAAAUUCAUAAAGUUGGCAACUUUAUGCAUUCUAAGGGUCCCUUGAGUAUGAUAAUGUUCAAAUCUAGAAGUUAGUUGAUUAUUAGAUCCAUGCAUGUGAGUUUUGGUUUAAUCUUUUCACUUUUGACCUAUAAUGGAUGGAGGACAUAAAUGACGCAUGCAUAUCCAUAAAGUAAUCAUUUUUAUGGAGAUUUGGAGUCCCCCUUAUCUUCGGGAAAAGUUAGAGUGAAAGACUUAAUGUAUUAAGGACUCAAAUCCUUGGAUUGUUGCUUUAGACUAUAGUUACAACGUGACACUAAGGGUGUCAAGACACGACCAUGAAAUAAACAUGUUUUUGUUGUGUCUUUUGAGAUCACAACGUGACAAAGGAAUGUUCACAUCAUGAAGUCAUCCCAAUGGGUUAUGCGUGACUGAGUUGGCUGAUUUGGAAUGAGUCAAGUUGGAAUCGGGUCGAGUGUGCUCUCAUGGCAUUACCAAGGGAUGGUCAUGACGUGAGACUCAAUGGAGGACAAUGUAGGUUGUUGAAUUUGGCUUUGACCGUUGACUUUUGGCAUGAGUUGACUCUUGGUCAAAUUUCUAUUUUUAGAAAGUAGACUUAAGUUUUACCUUGUAUGGAUUGUUAGGAGGUGUUUAGCACCCAUCGUUUGUGUUCGAUUAGUGUCUAAGUCCAUAACUAUUUUGGUAUGUACUUGACCCGAUGGUGCAUGGUCCUUUUGGGUUGCCUUCACCAAAGCAACUUGAUUGGAGAAAUAAAUAGAGAGAAAGGUUAUUAUGAUUUAUUAAUAUGUUAUAAGAAUAAUAUAUUAAAGGAGAAAUCAUAUUUGUUUAAUU
rnacentral:lncRNA from 1 species